rnacentral:rRNA from 1 species
CCUCCGUUUUUCCGCCGUUUUUACUAUUUCCCCCUUUUUUCCCCCCUUCUUCAGCUACUCCUCUUUAGUGAAGAAGUAUUUCGGUAUGUAAAGCUCUAUCAGCAGGGAAGAAAUAGCGACCUUUGGGUCGCCAGACGGUACCUGAUUAAGAAGCCCCGGCUAACUACGUGCCAGCAGCCGCGGUAAUACGUAGGGGGCAAGCGUUAUCCGGAUUUGCUGGGUGUAAAGGGAGCGUAGACGGCAGCGCAAGUCUGAAGUGAAAUGCCGUGGCUUAACCCCGGAACUGCGUUGGAAACUGUGCAGCUAGAGUGCAGGAGAGGUAAGUGGAAUUCCUGGUGUAGCGGUGAAAUGCGUAGAUAUUAGGAGGAACACCAGUGGCGAAGGCGGCUUACUGGACUGUAACUGACGUUGAGGCUCGAAAGCGUGGGGAGCAAACAGGAUUAGAUACCCUUGUAGUC